GAUGAACGCUGGCGGCGUGCCUAAUACAUGCAAGUCGAGCGAACGGACGAGAAGCUUGCUUCUCUGAUGUUAGCGGCGGACGUGUGAGUAACACGUGGAUAACCUACCUAUAAGACUGGGAUAACUUCGGGAAACCGGAGCUAAUACCGGAUAAUAUUUUGAACCGCAUUGUUCAAAAGUGAAAGACGGUCUUGCUGUCACUUAUAGAUGGAUCCGCGCUGCAUUAGCUAGUUGGUAAGGUAACGGCUUACCAAGGCAACGAUGCAUAGCCGACCUGAGAGGGUGAUCGGCCACACUGGAACUGAGACACGGACCAGACUCCUACGGGAGGGAGCAGUAGGGAAUCUUCCGCAAUGGGCGAAAGCCUGACGGAGCAACGCCGAGUGAGUGAUGAAGGUCUUCGGAUCGUAAAACUCUGUUAUUAGGGAAGAACAUAUGUGUAAGUAACUGUGCACAUAUUGACGGUACCUAAUCAGAAAGCCACGGCUAACUACGUG
rnacentral:rRNA from 1 species